AUGCUGGAGGAGCUAGCGUCCAUCGAGGAGAACGGCACCUGGACGCUCGCUCAUCUGCCCGCGGGUCACACAGCCAUUGGCCUCAAGUGGGUUUUCAAGCUGAAGAAAGAUGCGGUUGGCAUCGUCGUCAAGCACAAGGUGAGGCUCGUGGCCAGGGGCUUCAUGCAGAAGGAGGGCGUGGACUACGGCGACGCGUUCAUGCUCAUGGCAUGGCUGGACUCAGUGCGCGUCAUGGUUGGCAUGGCGGCACAGCGCGGCUGGGAGCUGCACCAUCUUGACGUCAAGUCGGCCUUCCUCAAUGGCGAGCUCAAGGAGGAGGUCUACGUCACACAGCCACCUGGCUUCGCGGAGAGGCGAGGAGCACAGGUGUUCUGA
rnacentral:rRNA from 1 species